UGGGGAAUUUUGGACAAUGGGCGAAAGCCUGAUCCAGCAAUGCCGCGUGUGUGAAGAAGGCCUUCGGGUUGUAAAGCACUUUUGUCCGGAAGGAAAUCCUUGGCUCUAAUACAGUCGGGGGAUGACGGUACCGGAAGAAUAAGCACCGGCUAACUACGUGCCAGCAGCCGUGGUAAUACGUAGGGUGCAAGCGUUAAUCGGAAUUACUGGGCGUAAAGCGUGCGCAGGCGGUUUGCUAAGACCGAUGUGAAAUCCCCGGGCUCAACCUGGGAACUGCAUUGGUGACUGGCAGGCUAGAGUAUGGCAGAGGGGGGUAGAAUUCCACGUGUAGCAGUGAAAUGCGUAGAGAUGUGGAGGAAUACCGAUGGCGAAGGCAGCCCCCUGGGCCAAUACUGACGCUCAUGCACGAAAGCGUGGGGAGCAAACAGGAUUAGAUACCCUGGUAGUCCACGCCCUAAACGAUGUCAACUAGUUGUUGGGGAUUCAUUUCCUUAGUAACGUAGCUAACGCGUGAAGUUGACCGCCUGGGGAGUACGGUCGCAAGAUU
rnacentral:rRNA from 1 species